rnacentral:sRNA from 1 species
CCCUAGCCCUGAUAGAAACGGCAUUCUUUUCCUGCUUCCUUUAAGCAGGAAAAGAUAUAGUGGAUAGCAGGAAUAGCU